rnacentral:rRNA from 1 species
UACAGAGGGUGCGAGCGUUAAUCGGAUUUACUGGGCGUAAAGCGUGUGUAGGCGGUUAUUCAAGUCGGUUGUGAAAUCCCCGGGCUCAACCUGGGAAUUGCUUCCGAGACUGAAUGACUAGAGUACGGUAGAGGGCGGUGGAAUUUCCGGUGUAGCGGUGAAAUGCGUAGAUAUCGGAAGGAACACCAAUGGCGAAGGCAGCCGCCUGGGCCUGUACUGACGCUGAGACACGAAAGCGUGGGGAUCAAACAGGAUUAGAUACCCUGGUAGUCCACGCCGUAAACGAUGAGAACUUGACGUUGGUUUGCUUUGCGAAUCGGUGUCGUAGCUAACGCGAUAAGUUCUCCGCCUGGGGAGUACGGCCGCAAGGUUGAA